rnacentral:lncRNA from 1 species
ACUGGGGGGCCCUGUGGUCGUACUUAUUGAUACGGUGGGGGCACCAGAUUAUACUGUGGCAGUGGUACCGGGUGGUACUGUGGAGGAGCAGGGUCGUACCAGGGUGGCUUAACUUGUGGCAACGGGGGAGGGUCAGAUAGCUCCCUCCUCUCCUCUCGGCCCUGUUGGGCCGUAAUGAGUCUUUCUAACAUCUCAAAUAUCCUGUCCAUGUCUUCCCUGAG